UCCUGGUGGCUCAAAGGUUAAAGCGUCUGCCUGCAAUGCGGGAGACCUGGGUUCGAUCCCUGGGUCGGGAA
rnacentral:tRNA from 1 species